GUGACAUACCUAAAACGUUGCUUCGGCGGGAACAGACGGCCCUGUAACAACGGGCCGCCCCCGCCAGAGGACCCCUAACUCUGUUUUUAUAAUGUUUUUCUGAGUAAACAAGCAAAUAAAUUAAAACUUUCAACAACGGAUCUCUUGGCUCUGGCAUCGAUGAAGAACGCAGCGAAAUGCGAUAAGUAAUGUGAAUUGCAGAAUUCAGUGAAUCAUCGAAUCUUUGAACGCACAUUGCGCCCGCCAGUAUUCUGGCGGGCAUGCCUGUUCGAGCGUCAUUACAACCCUCAGGCCCCCGGGCCUGGCGUUGGGGAUCGGCGGAAGCCCCCUGUGGGCACACGCCGUCCCUCAAAUACAGUGGCGGUCCCGCCGCAGCUUCCAUUGCGUAGUAGCUAACACCUCGCAACUGGAGAGCGGCGCGGCCAUGCCGUAAAACACCCAACUUCUGAAUGUUGACCUCGAAUCAGGUAGGAAUACCCGCUGAACUUAAGCAUAUCAAUA
rnacentral:rRNA from 1 species